CAGCUGGUGCACGGAUGCCCUGCUAAGAUUCAUUAUGAGCUCACAGAGCCAGAAGAGCCCCCAGCACAGGCUCCGAGCCCAGCACCUGCCAGAGCAAGGCUUGGGCAAAUCCAUCCCCAGCCGUGCCACGGCUGAGCCUCCCUUCCCGCUCCCUUCCUCCUUUCCCACAGCCGAGCAUUUGUAUUGUGUUUGUGUUCUCACCUUCCAUCACCUGCCUGGGGGGCCGGGCCGGGCAGGACAGAGCUCCAGAUCCUUCCCAAUGGGCCAAGGAAAGUCACCAGCCUCAGACAGACACCUUGAGUCCAGACUGUGUCUGUUUUUUGUCAGACUGCAGGACAGGCUCCUCCAGGAUCUGCCUGGAAAGGUCUCCCUGCCCCACCAGCCUCCUCCAGGCCCUGCCAGGCAUCACAGGGGAGCCUCACUGCUCUGAUUCCCUCACAAGGGGAAGAGGGAGAUGGAUCCCCCCAGAAAUGUCCUCCACAGAGUGUCCGAAUUCAUUCAUUACAGGCAGAUGCAGUCAGGAGGCUGAACAAUUCUGAACAAUAAAAGACGCCCUUCUAAAUACCAGAGGCAGCAGAAUGAGAUCCUCGUACAGAUCUGAGCCUGAUGGGGUUGUGCAUUUAGAAGGACACAAGCAGGCAGCAGAGUAGGAUGGAGCACUGCCAGGAGCUGGGACAGACCUCUGCUCAGCCUUUCCCAUCCUGCAGGUUUGCUUUUGGACACUCCCAGUGAAGCAUCCUGAGCUCAGGAGGGCACUCUGCACUUGAGGAAUAGAAAUGUCAAAGCAGUUAAAUCUGAAGAGGUUCUUUUUCUAUCCAUUCAAAUCCUGUGAAUUUCCUCCACUGUGUACAAAACAUCUCCCAUUUUAACCCUCAUCCAAGUGUUUUCCCUGAGCCAUAGUCAGGGGGUGAGGCAACAUUUCCCUUUCUGCAGGGGAACUCCUGGGAUGUGCCUGGAAACCCCUCAUGUGCCACUGGACACCCCUCA